rnacentral:rRNA from 1 species
AUUGGAUCAGGUAGGGAUACCCGCUGAACUUAAGCAUAUCAAUAAGCGGAGGAAAAGAAACCAACAGGGAUUGCCCUAGUAACGGCGAGUGAAGCGGCAACAGCUCAAAUUUGAAAUCUGGCGCAAGCCCGAAUUGUAAUUUGUAGAGGAUGCUUCUAGGCAGCGGCCGGUCUAAGUUCCUUGGAACAGGACGUCAUAGAGGGUGAGAAUCCCGUAUGUGACCGGUUGGCACCUUCCACGUAGCUCCUUCGACGAGUCGAGUUGUUUGGGAAUGCAGCUCUAAAUGGGAGGUAAAUUUCUUCUAAAGCUAAAUACCGGCCAGAGACCGAUAGCGCACAAGUAGAGUGAUCGAAAGAUGAAAAGCACUUUGGAAAGAGAGUUAAAAAGCACGUGAAAUUGUUGAAAGGGAAGCGCUUGCGACCAGACUUGUCGGCGGUGUUCCGCCGGUCUUCUGACCGGUCCACUCGCCGUCGGCAGGCCAGCAUCAUCUGGAGCCGCCGGAUAAAGGCGGAGGGAAUGUAGCUCCCCUCGGGGAGUGUUAUAGCCUUCCGUACAAUACGGCGCGCUCCGGGUGAGGUCCGCGUCUCGGCAAGGAUGCUGGCGUAAUGGUCGUAAGCGGCCCGUCUUGAAACACGGACCAAGGAGUCGAUUAUCUAUGCGAGUGUUCGGGCAUCAAACCCCUACGCGUAAUGAAAGUGAACGGAGGUGGGAACUACGGUGCACCAUCGACCGAUCCGGAUGUCUUCGGAUGGAUUUGAGUAAGAGCAUAGCUAAUCGGACCCGAAAGAUGGUGAACUAUGCCUGAAUAGGGUGAAGCCAGAGGAAACUCUGGUGGAGGCUCGCAGCGGUUCUGACGUGCAAAUCGAUCGUCAAAUUUGGGUAUAGGGGCGAAAGACUAAUCGAACCAUCUAGUAGCUGGUUCCUGCCGAAGUUUCCCUCAGAAAUC